GUACCGGUAGCUCAGUUGGAUAGAGCACUAGCCUCCGACGCUAGAAGUCGUUGGUUCGACUCCAAUCCGGUACACCA
rnacentral:tRNA from 1 species